UACGUAGGGGGCAAGCGUUGUCCGGAUUUAUUGGGCGUAAAGAGCGUGUAGGCGGCUAGAUAGGUCCGUUGUGAAAACUCGAGGCUCAACCUCGAGACGCCGAUGGAAACCAUCUAGCUAGAGUCCGGAAGAGGAGAAUGGAAUUCCUGGUGUAGCGGUGAAAUGCGUAGAUAUCGGGAGGAACACCUGUGGCGAAAGCGGCUCACUGGACCACAACUGACGCUGAGGCGCGAAAGCUAGGGGAGCAAACAGG
rnacentral:rRNA from 1 species